GACAGAGGAUGCAAGCGUUAUCCGGAAUGAUUGGGCGUAAAGCGUCUGUAGGUGGCUUUUCAAGUCCGCCGUCAAAUCCCAGGGCUCAACCCUGGACAGGCGGUGGAAACUACCAAGCUGGAGUACGGUAGGGGCAGGAGGGAAUUUCCGGUGGAGCGGUGAAAUGCGUAGAGAUACAGGAAGAACACCGGUGGCGAAAGCGCUCUGCUAGGCCGCAACUGACACUCAUGGACGAAAGCUAGGGGAGCGAAUGGG
rnacentral:rRNA from 1 species